UAUAUAUAUAUAUAUGUAUAUAUAUAUAGAGAGAGAGGGGGGGGGGCACCAGAGCGCUGCUCCACUCUAGCUUCUGAUGCUGGGAAUUGAACCUGGGAGUCUAGAGGCCCAAGUAUGAAACUUUUUUCAUAGCCAGUAAGCUGUCGUCUCCCCAGCCCCACCUGAACCUUUAUUUUGAAGUGUGGGCCAAGGUCCUCUGACGGUAUAAGGUAGGCUGUUGGGCUUAUGCCAGAAAUAAAUCAAAUUGGCUUGGUUUUGAAUUAUGACAUUCACCAGCCUGUGAUCUAGAAAAGAUGCUAAAUCUUUCUAGUCUCUUGUUUGUGAUAGGAGACUAAUACCCAGCUCUCUGAAUUAUAGAUCAUCCCUCAAACCUGGUUUAUUUCCUGCCUAGUGCCAGGCUUCUUUCACUCUUCUGGCUCUUGCCAAUAUAAAUAAAUAAUAUUAAUAAUAACAAGUACGUAUUAGGUAAAUGUAAUAGUAUAUUAAAAUUUCUUCCCAGCCUAAAUACUCAGUUGCUCUACCCUUCAGACAUUUUAGUUUAAAUUUAUAAUCCAUUGCCCGUUAAUUUAUCCAGUACAGUUUAGAGAGUGAAUGAGAAUAUGUGGAAAUUAGAAAAGUGGCUGUUGGUUGCAAGAAUUCCCUAAUUGGUGGGUUGACAUCACCAUCCUUACUUCCUUAAACAUUCUUUCAUCUAUUUAUCAGUAAAGUAAUUCUGUUGUAUUCAGUGAAAGCCACAAAGAUUGUAAGGGAAAGGCAAGUUUGUGUUCAAAUCCAAGUAGAAAUUUCAGUGAAAGGGCAGGGGCAGAUAGCAUAAUAGUUACGCAAAGAGACUCUCAGGCCUGAGGCUCUGAAGUCCCAGGUUCAAUCCCCCACACCACCAUAAGCCAGAGCUGAACAGGACUCUGCUAAACAAAAACAAAUACAAACAAACAAAA